CUAGCGUUGUUCGGAAUUACUGGGCGUAAAGCGCGUGUAGGCGGUUGUUCAAGUCAGGUGUGAAAGCCUUGAGCUCAACUCAAGAAAUGCACUUGAUACUGAAUGACUAGAGGACCGGAGAGGAUAGUGGAGUUCCCAGUGUAGUGGUGAAAUACGUAGAGAUUGGGAAGAACACCAGUGGCGAAGGCGGCUAUCUGGACGGUUACUGACGCCAAGACGCGAAAGCGUGGGGAGCAAGCAGG
rnacentral:rRNA from 1 species